GGGUGUAUUUCAAUGGCUAGAAUGAUGGUCUUCCAAACCGUAGAUGCGGGUUCGAGUCCCGUCAGCCCCG
rnacentral:tRNA from 1 species